UAGUAGUUUAAAUCCCUAUUUCUUUUGCCAGGUAAAGAAAUCCUGAUCCUGUUACAUGAUCCUAAUGUAGUUCAAAAUGCUUCAGUGAAUCAUUGCCAUUACCAAUAUGGGCAGAAGUUUACUAUAUCAGCUUCCCAGACACUGAACACAGUGUUGGCAGAACUGAUAGAAUAUGAGCCCAGUGAGUCAGAUAGGCUGUUCUUUUUUUAUCUGCAAGACGCACAGCAGCAGUUCCAGCCGUGUUGCCUUUGGAGCCGCUGCCGAAGGCUGGGCAGCUGGUGGGGAAGAAUCUGAUUGCUGAUCAAUGGCACAGUAAGCUUAUAUGCACAAAGCAAUGGACCAUGGAGAGUGAUGAGACUAUCACAAAGACUUCCAAAGCUGAAUUCUCCCCUUUCCUACUGCCAGAAAGGUGCCAGCUACACACCUUCUCAUCAUACCUGGAGGAACUGAGAAGGUUUAACCAAAGAAGGGGACAGAAGACAUCAGACAGGUCAAAUUUCAGGUCUCCUGUUGCCUUUGCUUGGUUUCCUGUUUGUUGGGAUGGACCAUUCUUGUGCUUCGAGGAGGCGAUCCUUGAAAAUCAGUAUAAAGCAGAAGCAGGAGAAGAAAACCAGUAAGGAGCACAAUUCACCAGAAAGAAACCAAUGCACACAGAGUGGCAGACAGAAGCAGUUAUGCACAGAACCCAACUCCUAGGCUGCUCAUUACCUCACUGGACAAAUUGGGAUGGACUGAGUGUAACCUGUGGCAAAAAUAAGGGAAGUGUUUGACUUAAGCCUUGGAGCAGACACACAACUGACUGAAACCAUCUCUGUAAAUACUUUCUACUGGGUAUGUCUCUACCAUGUUUUGAGCAUGAACUGCUUCACGUUCUCCUCGUCAGGAAGUAAAAUUAUGAGAAGUCUCUCAUCCUGACUUCGGAGGAGCCUCAGAACACGCUGCAAAGGAUGUUUAGCCACACACUGUUCAUGGAGGCCCAGACACACAGCUACAGACAGUAUGAAGGUGCUGCCUCCACAUUUUUGUUUGUUCUUGUAGACUCAUUACAUGGUUGACAUCAUUGUGCAGACAUAGCCAUGGAGGAUCCUUUCAGGAAAGUCUCCAUUAUUAUGUGCUAGGGGUUAAAUAGAUGAGAUUUGAAAGUAAUCUGAAUUGUUCUUGUAAAAGCACAGACUCCUAGCUCUGAAAAGCAAGUGUCCUACGUUGAAGUCAGGUGUGGGAGCUUUGGAACAAAGAAAUUCUAGCAUAGGCCUAGAAUCCUUGUUUCAUUAACCAGUAUUUUAAAAAAUGCAAAUUAUUAGCUACAGAGCAAAGACUUAGUAACAUGAGAUAUGAGUCUUUCUUCUAAUAUUAUUUCCAAAUAUUUUCAAAGAGAUGCACAGCAAGCAGAAGAACUCAGAAAGGGCAUGGCUGAUCAAAGAAUCCCUUCAUUAUGUGGCCAAGGACAGAUGUGUGCAUAGACACCCCUUUUUUUGGAUAUAUUUAAAAAAUAUUCUGUCAGACCUUCUGAAUAAAGAACAAGCUAUCGUGCACAUCAGCAUGUUAUACUGUCACGGAGGAUUACCUACUUAUCAUCUUAAACGUUAAAAUGUCAGUGGGAACUGGAGUGAUGACACUGAAUAGGAGUGUCACUAUUGGAUAGAGGAAUGUAGUAGUAAUUUGGUUUUUAAUAGCAGAGAACUCAAAACCUUAGAUCAGUUUGGGUAAGUCUAGGUGCUUAUCCAAAGCUAGGUUUGUAACAUGGGCUGCAUGUCUUGCUGGAAAAGGUUAUGUUCAGAUGUGCACCCAAUGCAAGCCUCCUGUAGCUCUUAUUCAGCCUGAGGACCCUGCUCCCUUAGCAUCUGCAUGUGAGUCACUCUUAAGAGGGCAGUGAUUACUAUGAAAGAAGAUUUCAGUAAAGAGGAUGCUGCAGAUGCUACUUCUUGGCAGGGCUAUUCUAUGCAGUUUUUCCUUGAAUGUCAACUUUUUCUUUUUCCUCCUGGAGCAAAGUAAGUCAGUAACUCAGGAACACCCCUUCUCCUUUCAGCUGUGUCUCUUGACUUUUUGGCCUGUUUUCUCCUCAGGUGCAGGGGAGGAUGAGAACUUGCUGAUGUUGGUCUUGAGAAUUUAAAAAUGUGAAGAAAGGGAAAUUAGACCCUGUUUUGGUUUAAAUUGAAAUGGAGAUCAAAGUCCAGCACUUUAAAGUAUAAAGGGUGUGUAUGCAUUUUGAAAGCAGCUCUCUAAGUUUGAUGUAAAUCAGUCUGCUUAUGUUCUACCAUACCCAGCCCAAAUUCCUGUCUGAAGUUACAUUUAUUUGACUAAAAAAGUCUCUGUUGGUAUUAAAAAAAAUCAAAUUUUCACAUUCUAGCACAGUUAUUAGUAAAAUCAACGAUAACUCUGCUUCUGAAAAGCAAAGGUCUGCUAGCUGUCACACUAACACAAAGAUACUUUAUCCUUUGUUACUGUCUGAACUUUUAAGUGGCCCCUGUUUUCUUUUACUUACUGACACAGGGCAGCAGUGAAAAGAGAUUUGCUGUGGAAGGUCAUGUGCCUUGGAGAGGUACUACAUGCUCUCUGAGAACAAGAGGUGGGAAUGAAGUGUUAAUGGGCUUUCUUCAUGCUGAGGCUACUGCACUGUCCCAUUGCUCCUACCAGAGUAGGAUCUUCUGAAUGAAACUUCAGAUGUAGAGGGAAGAAAAUUUCUUGCGUCUUUCUCACUUGUACAUGGGGCAAUUAUCUCUGGUCAAAGGAUCCCCUUUCAUUUGGUAUCCUUUUCCUCUGAAAUCUCACUGAAUCUGAAAUCAGAGCAGUCUUUUGCAGUCACUAUUGAUUUCCAGAAAGAUUUCUGGAGUGUUCAUGGAGGAAAAGAGAUCUCCAAUACUACUUUUUUCUAUUGUCUCAAGGGAAUGGUUGGUUAUAGCAAGGGCUUCAGGGAGCACUGAAAGCCAAAGAGUAAUCUAGAAAAUACUGUACCAAGGGCCUGUUUUAUAAACGCUGGGAAACCGUGAGUAUUACUUCAUCCUGGAUGCUCCAGCUAUAAAGAAUAAGCUGUUGCAGUAACUUUUCUUCUGGAAAGCUUUCUCUUGUGAGGAAAUAUCUGCCAAACUCCUGUAAAGACAUGGACUGACCUGUGUAUUCUCAAAGUUUAUAAUCUUGGGGGGUGCAAGUCUUUCAAAUACUUUGGCAUUUACCUUUCCAAAACAAGCUGAAAAAUAUCACUCUAAAAAUAGCUGUCUUUUGGCUCUAUGCACGUUUUAGGUAAGACAUUCCUAAAGCUUAAAAUAAUGAAUAUAAAAGAAUAUUUCCUCCUGCAGAACCAAGCUUCAAAGCUGAAAAGCAUGAUCAUUAGCUAUUCAUUUUUGAUUAAUCUUUACUCUCCUGAAGAUUAAACC